UUUGUUUUUUUUUUCCGGGGAGUCGGCCUCGGGGCUCUGCUCUCCUACCUCAGUCUGCCCUACCCUGGAAUGGGGAAAAUGCGGACAUGCCACUCACUCCGGCCGCGAAGAGUGCUCCAGAACUCAGAGAGUUUUCCAGACGGGUGGAGAUCGCGUUCCCUGCCCGCCGAGGUCCCAUCGCUUCCCUGCUGGGAAGACAAAUGAGGCGCUUUAGCUGUCUCCAAGACCAGCCCCUCCCUCAUAACCCGAGAUUCCUUGUGGGCUCUUAGUCCAUAGCUGCCUUUGAGGUGGUGUAGACCUUGCUAACCAGGACGGCCCAGUAGGCAGAGCUCAUUUUUAUUCCUGUCUGCAAUCGUGCAAAAACCCCUCUUAUAGAAGAGGCAGAGCGCCAGGAGUCAGCAAAACACACUAAAGAUUGGGCAGUCACUGGGGAGAACACUCAGCCUGCCUGCACCCAGGUGAAAUAUACAGCCUUAUUGCUCACACAAAGCCUGUUUGGUGGUUUCUUCACACGGACGCAUGUGACAUUUGGUGCUGAAGACCCAGGACAAGAGGACUCCUUUGGGAGAACAGUCCCCUGUCCUCGCCCUCACUCCGUGAGGAGAUCCACCUAUGAUCUCAGGUCCUCAGACCAACCAGCCCAAGGAACAUCUCACCAAUUUCAAAUUGGAUAGGAGUGUCAGGCCUCUGAGUCCAAGCUAAGCCAUCAUAUCCCCUGUGACCUGCACGUGUACAUCCAGAUGACCUGAAGCAACUGAAGAUCCACAAAAGAAGUGAAAAUAGCCUUAAUUGAUGACAUUCCACCACUGUGAUUUGUUCCUGACCCAUCCUAACUGAUACUAUAUAUUAUCCCCCAGCCCUUGAGAAUGUACUUUGUACGCCUAUCCCAAACCUAUAAGAACUAAUGAUAAUCCCAUCACCCUUUGCUGACUCUCUUUUUGGACUCAGCCCACCUGCACCCAGGUGAAAUAAACAGUCCUGUUGCUCA